rnacentral:rRNA from 1 species
AGGAUAAACGCUGGCGGCGUGCCUAACACAUGCAAGUCGAACGUCUCUUCUUUCGGGAAGAGGAGUGGCGGACGGGUGAGGAACACGUGGGAACCUGCCCUUUAGUGAGGAAUACCGGCGAGAAAUCGCCGACAAGACCGCAUAGCCCUCUUUGAUGAGAGUCAAAGAAGGAAAGCUUCGCAAGAGGCGCUAGAGGAGGGGCCUGCGUCCGAUUAGCUAGUUGGUGGGGUAAGAGCCUACCAAGGCGUCGAUCGGUAGCUGGCCUGAGAGGACGAUCAGCCACACUGGGAUUGAGAACGGCCCAGACUCCUACGGGGGCAGCAGUGAGGAAUUUUCGGCAAUGGGGGAAACCCUGACCGAGCAACGCCGCGUGCAGGAAGACGGCCUUCGGUUGUAAACUGCUUUUCUUUGGGUAAGUAGGAAGGACGGUACCAGAGGAAUCAGCCCCGGCUCACUACGUGCCAGCAGCCGC